rnacentral:rRNA from 1 species
GGGUUAAUAGGUGCGAGGUGGAAGCGUGGUGACACGUGGAGCUGACGAAUACUAAUCGAUCGAAGACUUAAUCAAAUU